rnacentral:tRNA from 2 species
GGACGGGUAGCUCAGUUGGUUAGAGCAUCGCGUUGACAUCGCGAAGGUCGUAGGUUCGAGCCCUAUCUCGUCCA